CGACAUCACUCCCGUCGAGCGUUGCGACAUAAAGUAAACUAUGUCCAACUUAUUCAAGGUGUUAGCUGUUCAUGCCUAGAUGCAUUCAAGCACAGCAGCUGUAUGGCUACCAGGCCUGUGGCUCCGGCGUGGUCCCAACCGUCCCUGCACGUGCAAAUAGGUACAAGCGCGUGCCAUACAUACCACGCCGUAGAGUUUACGCGCUUCCGGUUUAUCGGUUCACUAAUAAACCAAUGCGUCGCUACGAUAACCGAUGUCAGCUUGGCGGGCUUCGAUGGUCCGUCAUGUACACAUAACUGUUUUGAGGACAGUCAUGGCCUUGACAAAACUUAGUAUAAAUUGUGCUAGGAUUGUGACUUCCUAAAGACCAGGCAGGCCAGGAGGAUUAUGCUAAGCGAGCCAGAAUCGAACAGACCCUCCAGAGACUACAGUGUCCGCUCUUACAUGCACUGCCUUGCCACCCAUGAUCAUCCACAAAACACGGAGACGGACACUUUUGUCAGCAUGGAUCAUCAAAUGUGUCAUCCGACGCUAUGGAAAGCACCAGGCACCAGUCUUUGUGGGGCCUACGGCACGAGGGCACCCACAUCACACCAGCAGUAAACGCCUGAUCAAUCACUAGUGAAUGUCCAGGAAACAAGACGGCGAGAUCUCUGGUCAAGUGCCACUCAAUUGGGAGGGAGCUAAGUUACAGGCACCCUUGCCGAUUACCACCUUCACUCGGGCCCUGGCAGCCCUGUUGGAUGCUUAAUGCCUAAAGCUUGCAAUCAGAAGCCGCCUUGCGGCACUUCGUUAUCACUGCCACAGUAUAACAAUCUCCUUGUAAAUGUGUGCUGCACAGGCGAUAACAGAGGCACCAGGCUCCAAGCGCAAGGCUUGCUCAGACAUGUCAGCUCUCCGCGACAAGAUGCGGCCGCAGGUGCAGGUCAGGUACAAAGCUGUGGGUGCGCUUGCUGGAUAAAGUGGCCCGCUCUACCACGUCCCUUCAUCGAGCCUCCUAC
rnacentral:lncRNA from 1 species